ACGGGGGGGGCAAGCGUUGUUCGGAAUUACUGGGCGUAAAGGGCUCGCAGGCGGCCGACUAAGUCAGACGUGAAGUCCCUUGGCUCAACCAAGGAAUGGCGUCUGAUACUGGACGGCUUGAAUCCGGGAGAGGGAUGUGGAAUUCCAGGUGUAGCGGUGAAAUGCGUAGAUAUCUGGAGGAACACCGGUGGCGAAGGCGGCAUCCUGGACCGGUAUUGACGCUGAGGAGCGAAAGCCAGGGGAGCAAACGGGA
rnacentral:rRNA from 1 species